rnacentral:rRNA from 1 species
UACGGAGGGUGCAAGCGUUAUUCGGAAUCACUGGGCGUAAAGGGUGCGUAGGCGGUUUGAUAAGUCUGAUGUGAAAUCCUAUGGCUCAACCAUAGAACUGCAUUGGAAACUGUCAGACUAGAAUACUGAAGGGGCAGAUGGAAUUAGUGGUGUAGGGGUAAAAUCCGUAGAUAUCACUAGGAAUACCGAAAGCGAAAGCGAUCUGCUGGGAAGUUAUUGACGCUGAGGCACGAAAGCGUGGGGAGCAAACGGGAUUAGAAACCCUAGUAGUCC